GUGGGGAAUAUUGGUCAAUGGACGGAAGUCUGAACCAGCCAUGCCGCGUGCAGGAUUAAGGCCCUAUGGGUCGUAAACUGCUUUUGUGGUGGAGCAAUAAGACGUACGCGUACGUCGAUGAGAGUACAUCACGAAUAAGCAUCGGCUAACUCCGUGCCAGCAGCCGCGGUAAUACGGAGGAUGCAAGCGUUAUCCGGAUUUAUUGGGUUUAAAGGGUGCGUAGGCUGUUCGUCAAGUCAGAGGUGAAAUACCUGAGCCUAACUCAGGAACUGCCUUUGAUACUGGCGAGCUGGAAUACGGAUGCCGUGGGAGGAAUGAGUAGUGUAGCGGUGAAAUGCAUAGAUAUUACUCAGAACACCGAUUGCGAAGGCAUCUCACGAAUCCGUCAUUGACGCUGAGGCACGAAAGCGUGGGGAUCAAACAGG
rnacentral:rRNA from 1 species